UACGUAGGGGCCUAGCGUUGUCCGGAUUUAUUGGGCGUAAAGAGCUCGUAGGCGGUUCGGCAAGUCGGAUGUGAAAUCUCCACGCUUAACGUGGAGGGGCCAUUCGAAACUGCCGUGACUCGAGUCCGGUAGGGGAGUUCGGAAUUCCCGGUGUAGCGGUGAAAUGCGCAGAUAUCGGGAGGAACACCAAUGGCGAAGGCAGCUCUCUGGGACGGUACUGACGCUGAGACGCGAAAGCGUGGGGAGCGAACAGG
rnacentral:rRNA from 1 species